rnacentral:rRNA from 1 species
CGGCGUGCUAUACUGCAAGUCGAGCGAAUGGAUUAAGAGCUUGCUCUUAUGAAGUUAGCGGCGGACGGGUGAGUAACACGUGGGUAACCUGCCCAUAAGACUGGGAUAACUCCGGGAAACCGGGGCUAAUACCGGAUAACAUUUUGAACCGCAUGGUUCGAAAUUGAAAGGCGGCUUCGGCUGUCACUUAUGGAUGGACCCGCGUCGCAUUAGCUAGUUGGUGAGGUAACGGCUCACCAAGGCAACGAUGCGUAGCCGACCUGAGAGGGNGAUCGGCCACACUGGGACUGAGACACGGCCCACACUCCUACGGGAGGGAGCAGUAGGGAAUCUUCCGCAAUGGACGAAAGUCUGACGGAGCAACGCCGCGUGAGUGAUGAAGGCUUUCGGGUCGUAAAACUCUGUUGUUAGGGAAGAACAAGUGCUAGUUGAAUAAGCUGGCACCUUGACGGGACCUAACCAGAAAGCCACGGCUAACUACGUGCCAGCAGCCGCGGGAAUACGUAGGUGGGAAGCGUUAUCCGGAAUUAUUGGGCGUAAAGCGCGCGCAGGUGGUUUCUUAAGUCUGAUGUGAAAGCCCACGGCUCAACCGUGGAGGGUCAUUGGAAACUGGGAGACUUGAGUGCAGAAGAAGAAAGUGGAAUUCCAUGUGUAGCGGUGAAAUGCGUAUAGAUAUGGAGGAACACCAAUGGCGAAGGCGACUUUCUGGUCUGUAACUGACACUGAGGCGCGAAAGCGUGGGGAG